GGACACCAAGACUCUUUACGGUGAAAAGAAUAUUAGGAGCUAGGGGGCCAAGGGUGUCUCUUGUAUAAAAGCUAUCAGGGCCGCUUCCUUUUUUAGGGAUGACAGAAUUUUACAUCUUUUAACUACAUUAUAAAUUCCCUUUACUUUCCAUGUAAUACAUUUAGUGACACUCAUCUUAAAGGUGUAUUUCCCAUGUACAUGAA
rnacentral:misc_RNA from 1 species